AGCUAAGCAUAGCUACCCAACAGAAAAGUAAACCCAGGUUGGCAAGGAAUAAUCACAAAAACUAGGCAAACCUUAAUAAGACCCAUCAAAUUUAAUGCAAGCAUAUGCAAUAGUGAUUAAACAAAGUUAUUAGGACAAAAGCACAAGGACACACUUGCCUUUCUCCAGCGACAAGUUACUUCUUACUGCUCUUCGGCUCUUGCUCUCUUGAAACUCUUAAUCUUCAAAGCUUUCGAACAGUGAUCCUUCUACUCGAAGCAAACAUCGGCACAAACAUGCAAGCAACAAACAAGUACAACUAAGAGCAGUACGCCAAAAUAAAAGACAGGCUUUAAAAGAGCGUACUAACGACAAGGCUCGAUCUAAGGUCACGCGAACGUAAGGAACGCUUAAAACGGAACUAUGGUGGAAAAGAUAAAGCUAUCGAGAGUUUUGAGUUAUAAAAGAAAAAUAAGAGCUACAAGCUUUAUUUAUUUUAGUUGAGAAAAGCAAUGUAAAGAUAUUUCAGAGAAAUAUCCUUAGUUAGAAUUAAUCAAGUCAUAUUUAUAUUUUCAUGAGAAAAGACGGUGUAAAGCUUACUCCAAUUUUAUUUAUAAAUAUUUGAGUACAAUUUAUGCAAAUUAAACAUUUAAUUUCAAAAAUAAGAUACAUGUAGACAUCUAAGCGUAUAGCUUUACAUCUCGAGUUCAACUAAGUAGAUUAAAUUAAAAACACAUUCAUAUUUAUGUUAGCCAAAUUAAUAUUUAAUUAUGAAAACUCGAGAUAUAACCUAUACAGAUUUUAUUUAGAAAACAAAUUGAAUAGACAUUAAUCAAAUUGAAUUUAAUUUAUGAAACGCCGAGGUAUAACUCUAAGUGGCUUUUAAUUGGAAGAAUUAUUUAGAUAGGUAUUAACCAAAUUAACUUUAGUUUAUGAAAAACCGAUAUAUAACCUAAUUGGCUUUUAUUUAGAAGAGGGUAUGAAGUAGGCAUUAAUCAAAUUAACAAUUAUUAUGAAAAACGAUGUUUAACACUAAAUAGAUUUUAUUUAGAGAAGAACUCGUUUGUCAGGCAUUAAUCAAUUUUAAUAUAAAUUUUAUUUUCAAAAACAUGUGUGAAGGAAAACAUUACCACUAACGUGUAAUUUACAUCAUUAUGAAUCUAACGCAACUUGAACGGACAAAAACGGAAUUAAAACGUAGAAUCUAUGGGUUAAACAACGUUGCAGGGGUCUAAACGUAAUUAACCGUAGACUUGGAGGGUUAGCAAGGAAAAUUUGCAAGACACCAGGAAUAGUGCUCGCAAAUAAAAGAAAUAACAGGGUUAGAUCCAAAAGAUUGUGAGGCUCGGUUUAAAUUGAAUGGGACCGGAAAGAUCGAGGGGUUUUCUGUGAAGUUGCCAAGACACAAGAAAUAAGCUGAAAAUUUGAGUUUUCCUCAAGGGCCUAAAAGCAAAAUCGCCAUCUCAUCUUCAACCACCGGCCCUCCCGGGCUUCCCGGCGGCACUGGCCGGCGACGGCGGCCGGGGCCGGGCCAGGCCAGGGGCGCGGCGGCGCUAGGCGCGCAAGACGCGGCGGCGGCGGCGGGCAGCUGCAGCGCACGGCGGGCGAGCAGGGGCGAACCAGGCGGCAGCCAUGGUUACGUACUGCUCGGUUGUUUACAGAAACAGAAAAAGAAACAGGAGAGAGAAAGAUGGGAAAAGCUGGAAACGAAGCCCGAUCUCGCGCAUGAACGGCAAAAUGGAACGAUAUCGACGAGGCGAACAAGAUGGUGUGCUCACCUUCGGCAAGAGAUGAACAAUGGCGGCGGAAAAGCUCGCCGGAGUUGGGGAAGACGACGGAGCCGACAUCAGAUUCAUGCAAUCCACCACACCACGGCGUAGAGCUCGAAGAGAGGAACUCCAUGGUGGUGUCGGUUUUCGCCGGAAGUCCACGGUUUCGCCGGAAAAGCUCGCCGGAGUUUGACGAAGACCGAACUUUGACUUCAGAUCUACGGAGUUAGGAGAGGCAACUCGUGAAAAGGUUUGUAGAUCUGUAAUCCUCGCGUCGAGACGAACGCGGUGAUGUAUAUAUAGG
rnacentral:lncRNA from 1 species